UUCAUACUCCCUCUGUCCGGAAAUACUUGUCAUCAAAAUGGAUGAAAAUGGAUGUAUCUACAACUAAAAUACAUCUAGAUACAUCCAUUUCAAUGACAAGUAUUUUUGGACGGAGGGAGUACUUU
rnacentral:pre_miRNA from 1 species